rnacentral:rRNA from 1 species
AACGAACGCUGGCGGCAGGCCUAACACAUGCAAGUCGAGCGGACCCUUCGGGGUUAGCGGCGGACGGGUGAGUAACGCGUGGGAAUAUGCCCUUCUCUACGGAAUAGUCCUGGGAAACUGGGGGUAAUACCGUAUACGCCCUUUGGGGGAAAGAUUUAUCGGGGAAGGAUUAGCCCGCGUUGGAUUAGGUAGUUGGUGGGGUAAUGGCCUACCAAGCCGACGAUCCAUAGCUGGUUUGAGAGGAUGAUCAGCCACACUGGGACUGAGACACGGCCCAGACUCCUACGGGAGGCAGCAGUGGGGGAUCUUAGACAAUGGGGGCAACCCUGAUCUAGCCAUGCCGCGUGAGUGAUGAAGGCCUUAGGGUUGUAAAGCUCUUUCAGCUGGGAAGAUAAUGACGGUACCAGCAGAAGAAGCCCCGGCUAACUCCGUG